rnacentral:rRNA from 1 species
GACAGAGGGUGCAAACGUUGUUCGGAUUUACUGGGCGUAAAGCGUGUGUAGGCGGCUUGGCAAGUUGGAUGUGAAAGCCCACGGCUCAACCGUGGAAGCGCAUCCAAAACUGCUUCGCUCGAGUCUCGGAGAGGAAGGUGGAAUGCUUGGUGUAGAGGUGAAAUUCGUAGAUAUCAAGCGGAACACCUGCGGCGAAGGCGGCCUUCUGGACGAUGACUGACGCUGAGACACGAAAGCGUGGGGAGCAAACAGG